rnacentral:rRNA from 1 species
AGAGUUUGAUCCUGGCUCAGAACGAACGCUGGCGGCGUGCCUAACACAUGCAAGUCGAACGGAAUUUGAGAGCUUGCUCUUAAAUUUAGUGGCGCACGGGUGAGUAACGCGUAGAUAAUCUGCCUGACGAUCUGGGAUAACACUUCGAAAGAGGUGCUAAUACCGGAUAAGCCCACGGAGUCUUUGGACUUUGCGGGAAA